UCCUACGGGAGGCAGCAGUGGGGAAUAUUGCACAAUGGGGGCAACCCUGAUGCAGCAAUACCGCGUGUGUGAAGAAGGCCCGAGGGUUGUAAAGCACUUUCAAUAGUGAAGAAAAGCUCAUGGUUAAUACCCAUGGGUCUUGACGUUAACUAUACAAGAAGCACCGGCUAACUCCGUGCCAGCAGCCGCGGUAAUACGGAGGGUGCAAGCGUUAAUCGGAAUUACUGGGCGUAAAGCGUGCGUAGGCGGUUUACUAAGUCAGAUGUGAAAGCCCCGGGCUUAACCUGGGAACUGCAUUUGAUACUGGUAGGCUAGAGUGUGAUAGAGGGGGGUAGAAUUCCUGGUGUAGCGGUGAAAUGCGUAGAUAUCAGGAGGAAUACCAGUGGCGAAGGCGGCCCCCUGGAUCAAUACUGACGCUGAGGUACGAAAGCGUGGGUAGCGAACAGGAUUAGAUACCCUGGUAGUCCACGCCGUAAACGAUGAGAACUAGCCGUUGGGGUCUUGAGACUUCAGUGGCGCAGCUAACGCGUGAAAUUCUCCGCCUGGGGACUACGGCCGCAAGGCUAAAACUCAAAUGAAUUGACGG
rnacentral:rRNA from 1 species